rnacentral:rRNA from 1 species
AGUGAACGCUGGCGGUAGGCCUAACACAUGCAAGUCGAACGGCAGCACAGUAAGAGCUUGCUCUUACGGGUGGCGAGUGGCGGACGGGUGAGGAAUACAUCGGAAUCUACUUUUUCGUGGGGGAUAACGUAGGGAAACUUACGCUAAUACCGCAUACGACCUACGGGUGAAAGCAGGGGAUCUUCGGACCUUGCGCGAUUGAAUGAGCCGAUGUCGGAUUAGCUAGUUGGCGGGGUAAAGGCCCACCAAGGCGACGAUCCGUAGCUGGUCUGAGAGGAUGAUCAGCCGCACUGGAACUGAGACACGGUCCAGACUCCUACGGGAGGCAGCAGUGGGGAAUAUUGGACAAUGGGCGCAAGCCUGAUCCAGCCAUACCGCGUGGGUGAAGAAGGCCUUCGGGUUGUAAAGCCCUUUUGUUGGGAAAGAAGAGCAGCAGGUUAAUACCCCGCUGUUCUGACGGUACCCAAAGAAUAAGCACCGGCUAACUUCGUG